rnacentral:rRNA from 1 species
AUUGAACGCUGGCGGCAUGCCUUACACAUGCAAGUCGAACGGUAACAGGUCUUCGGAUGCUGACGAGUGGCGAACGGGUGAGUAAUACAUCGGAACGUGCCUAGUAGUGGGGGAUAACUACUCGAAAGAGUGGCUAAUACCGCAUGAGAUCUACGGAUGAAAGCAGGGGAUCGCAAGACCUUGUGCUACUAGAGCGGCCGAUGGCAGAGUAGGUAGUUGGUGGGAUAAAAGCUUACCAAGCCGACGAUCUGUAGCUGGUCUGAGAGGACGAUCAGCCAGACUGGGACUGAGACACGGCCCAGAAUCCUACCGGCGGCAGCAGUGGGGAAUUAUGGACAAUGGGGGAAAGCCUGAUCCAGCAAUGCCGCGUGCAGGAUGAAGGCGUUCGUGUUGUAAACUGCUUUUGUACUGAACGAAAAGCCCUGGGUUAAUACCCUGGGGUCAUGACGGUACCGUAAGAAUAAGCACCGGCUAACUACGUGCCAGCCGCCGCGGUAACAC